UACAGGGGGUGCAAGCGUUAAUCGGAAUUACUGGGCGUAAAGCGUGCGUAGACGGUUAUGUAAGUCGGGUGUGAAAGCCCCGGGCUCAACCUGGGAAUGCCAUUCGAGACUGCAUAGCUAGGGUGCGGAAGAGGGAAGCGGAAUUUCCGGUGUAGCGGUGAAAUGCGUAGAUAUCGGAAGGAACACCGGUGGCGAAGGCGGCCUGCUGGGCAGUAGCUGACACUGAGGCGCGACAGCGUGGGGAGCAAACAGG
rnacentral:rRNA from 1 species